UAUUUCUUUAAUAUAACAAGUAUAGUUGACUUCCAAUCAAAAAGUCUGGUAUCCAGAAGAAAUAA
rnacentral:tRNA from 1 species